GACGAACGCUGGCGGCGUGCUUAACACAUGCAAGUCGAACGGAAAGGCCCUGCUUGCAGGGUGCUCGAGUGGCGAACGGGUGAGUAACACGUGGGUGAUCUGCCCCUUACUUUGGGAUAAGCCUGGGAAACUGGGUCUAAUACUGGAUAGGACCAUGCUGUAGGUGGUGUGGUGGAAAGAUUAGUUUCGGUAAGGGAUGAGCUCGCGGCCUAUCAGCUUGUUGGUGGGGUAAUGGCCUACCAAGGCGUCGACGGGUAGCCGGCCUGAGAGGGUGGACGGCCACAUUGGGACUGAGAUACGGACCAGACUCCUACGGUAGGCAGCAGUGGGGAAUAUUGCACAAUGGGCGCAAGCCUGAUGCAGCGACGCCGCGUGGGGGAUGACGGCCUUCGGGUUGUAAACGCCUUUCAGCCAUGACGAAGCCCUUGUGGUGACGGUAGUGGUAGAAGAAGCACCGGCUAACUACGUG
rnacentral:rRNA from 1 species